rnacentral:rRNA from 1 species
UUGAAAGGGAAACGAUUGAAGUCAGUCGUACCUAUGGGUAAUCAGCCUUUUGGGUGUGAUUUUGUGGAGCGUGAGGAGUUAAACGCCUUCAUGCCUGCAUAUUCGUGCACUUUGGGUGUACUUGCCCGUAUGGUUGGUUAACAUCAAUUUUGGUGGUCAUAAAAUGACUGGAGGAAUGUAGCUUCGAUCUUGUAUUGAAGUGUUAUAGCCUUCGGUAGAUGUGAUGAUCGAGAUUGAGGAUUGCAACGGAUACCUUUCGGGGCUACCUGUCUGAUCUCUGAUCGUUGCUUUGGUGCUGAAAGCGUGCUUAUAGUUAUCAAAGUCGAUGGUCAAUAGGUUAGAAUGGGUUAAAUUCGUUAAGGAUGUUGACGUA